UACGGGGGGGGCAAGCGUUGUUCGGAAUUACUGGGCGUAAAGGGCUCGUAGGCGGCCAACUAAGUCGGAUGUGAAAUCCCCAGGCUUAACCUGGGAAGUGCAUCCGAUACUGGAUGGCUUGAAUUCGGGAGAGGGAUGCAGAAUUCCAGGUGUAGCGGUGAAAUGCGUAGAUAUCGAGAGGAACACCUGAGGUGAAGCCGGGUUGCUGGGCUGACACUGACGCUGAUGCGCGAAAGCCAGGGUAGCAAACGGG
rnacentral:rRNA from 1 species